rnacentral:rRNA from 1 species
CAUAGGUUAAUGAGGCGAACCGGGGGAACUGAAACAUCUAAGUACCCCGAGGAAAAGAAAUCAACCGAGAUUCCCCCAGUAGCGGCGAGCGAACGGGGAGCAGCCCAGAGCCUGAAUCAGUGUGUGUGUUAGUGGAAGCGUCUGGAAAGGCGCGCGAUACAGGGUGACAGCCCCGUACACAAAAAUGCACAUGCUGUGAGCUCGAUGAGUAGGGCGGGACACGUGGUAUCCUGUCUGAAUAUGGGGGGACCAUCCUCCAAGGCUAAAUACUCCUGACUGACCGAUAGUGAACCAGUACCGUGAGGGAAAGGCGAAAAGAACCCCGGCGAGGGGAGUGAAAAAGAACCUGAAACCGUGUACGUACAAGCAGUGGGAGCACGCUUAGGCGUGUGACUGCGUACCUUUUGUAUAAUGGGUCAGCGACUUAUAUUCUGUAGCAAGGUUAACCGAAUAGGGGAGCCGAAGGGAAACCGAGUCUUAACUGGGCGUUAAGUUGCAGGGUAUAGACCCGAAACCCGGUGAUCUAGCCAUGGGCAGGUUGAAGGUUGGGUAACACUAACUGGAGGACCGAACCGACUAAUGUUGAAAAAUUAGCGGAUGACUUGUGGCUGGGGGUGAAAGGCCAAUCAAACCGGGAGAUAGCUGGUUCUCCCCGAAAGCUAUUUAGGUAGCGCCUCGUGAAUUCAUCUCCGGGGGUAGAGCACUG